GACGAACGCUGGCGGCGUGCUUAACACAUGCAAGUCGAGCGGUAAGGCCCUUUCGGGGUACACGAGCGGCGAACGGGUGAGUAACACGUGGGUGACCUGCCCUCAGCUCUGGGAUAAGCCUGGGAAACCGGGUCUAAUACCGGAUAUGACUCCAUGACGCAUGUUGUGGGGUGGAAAGCCUUGUGCGGCUGAGGGUGGGCCCGCGGCCUAUCAGCUUGUUGGUGGGGUGAUGGCCUACCAAGGCGACGACGGUAGCCGGCCUGAGAGGCGACCGGCCACACUGGGACUGAGACACGGCCCAGACUCCUACGGGAGGCAGCAGUGGGGAAUCUUGCGCAAUGGGCGAAAGCCUGACGCAGCGACGCCGCGUGAGGGAUGACGGCCU
rnacentral:rRNA from 1 species